UUUGAGAAGAGUAGGAUGCAAACGAUGAUCCCUGUUGUGUGUACUGCCAGCACUGUUCACAGACAGGAUGUAACCUUAUGUAAGAUGGAAGCCUGUGAAGAAAGAUACAGAUAGCGGUUGGAGUUAAAAGUAGCAGAUGAAUAUUUCUCUUCUUAAGU
rnacentral:lncRNA from 1 species